AGCGUACACGGUGGAUGCCCUGGCAGUCAGAGGCGAUGAAGGACGUGCUAAUCUGCGAUAAGCGUCGGUAAGGUGAUAUGAACCGUUAUAACCGGCGAUUUCCGAAUGGGGAAACCCAGUGUGAUUCGUCACACUAUCAUUAACUGAAUCCAUAGGUUAAUGAGGCGAACCGGGGGAACUGAAACAUCUAAGUACCCCGAGGAAAAGAAAUCAACCGAGAUUCCCCCAGUAGCGGCGAGCGAACGGGGAGCAGCCCAGAGCCUGAAUCAGUGUGUGUGUUAGUGGAAGCGUCUGGAAAGGCGCGCGAUACAGGGUGACAGCCCCGUACACAAAAAUGCACAUACUGUGAGCUCGAUGAGUAGGGCGGGACACGUGGUAUCCUGUCUGAAUAUGGGGGGACCAUCCUCCAAGGCUAAAUACUCCUGACUGACCGAUAGUGAACCAGUACCGUGAGGGAAAGGCGAAAAGAACCCCGGCGAGGGGAGUGAAAAAGAACCUGAAACCGUGUACGUACAAGCAGUGGGAGCCUUGAUUUAUCAGGGUGACUGCGUACCUUUUGUAUAAUGGGUCAGCGACUUAUAUUCUGUAGCAAGGUUAACCGAAUAGGGGAGCCGAAGGGAAACCGAGUCUUAACUGGGCGUUAAGUUGCAGGGUAUAGACCCGAAACCCGGUGAUCUAGCCAUGGGCAGGUUGAAGGUUGGGUAACACUAACUGGAGGACCGAACCGACUAAUGUUGAAAAAUUAGCGGAUGACUUGUGGCUGGGGGUGAAAGGCCAAUCAAACCGGGAGAUAGCUGGUUCUCCCCGAAAGCUAUUUAGGUAGCGCCUCGUGAAUUCAUCUCCGGGGGUAGAGCACUGUUUCGGCAAGGGGGUCAUCCCGACUUACCAACCCGAUGCAAACUGCGAAUACCGGAGAAUGUUAUCACGGGAGACACACGGCGGGUGCUAACGUCCGUCGUGAAGAGGGAAACAACCCAGACCGCCAGCUAAGGUCCCAAAGUCAUGGUUAAGUGGGAAACGAUGUGGGAAGGCCCAGACAGCCAGGAUGUUGGCUUAGAAGCAGCCAUCAUUUAAAGAAAGCGUAAUAGCUCACUGGUCGAGUCGGCCUGCGCGGAAGAUGUAACGGGGCUAAACCAUGCACCGAAGCUGCGGCAGCGACACUAUGUGUUGUUGGGUAGGGGAGCGUUCUGUAAGCCUGUGAAGGUGUGCUGUGAGGCAUGCUGGAGGUAUCAGAAGUGCGAAUGCUGACAUAAGUAACGAUAAAGCGGGUGAAAAGCCCGCUCGCCGGAAGACCAAGGGUUCCUGUCCAACGUUAAUCGGGGCAGGGUGAGUCGACCCCUAAGGCGAGGCCGAAAGGCGUAGUCGAUGGGAAACAGGUUAAUAUUCCUGUACUUGGUGUUACUGCGAAGGGGGGACGGAGAAGGCUAUGUUGGCCGGGCGACGGUUGUCCCGGUUUAAGCGUGUAGGCUGGUUUUCCAGGCAAAUCCGGAAAAUCAAGGCUGAGGCGUGAUGACGAGGCACUACGGUGCUGAAGCAACAAAUGCCCUGCUUCCAGGAAAAGCCUCUAAGCAUCAGGUAACAUCAAAUCGUACCCCAAACCGACACAGGUGGUCAGGUAGAGAAUACCAAGGCGCUUGAGAGAACUCGGGUGAAGGAACUAGGCAAAAUGGUGCCGUAACUUCGGGAGAAGGCACGCUGAUAUGUAGGUGAAGCGACUUGCUCGUGGAGCUGAAAUCAGUCGAAGAUACCAGCUGGCUGCAACUGUUUAUUAAAAACACAGCACUGUGCAAACACGAAAGUGGACGUAUACGGUGUGACGCCUGCCCGGUGCCGGAAGGUUAAUUGAUGGGGUCAGCCGCAAGGCGAAGCUCUUGAUCGAAGCCCCGGUAAACGGCGGCCGUAACUAUAACGGUCCUAAGGUAGCGAAAUUCCUUGUCGGGUAAGUUCCGACCUGCACGAAUGGCGUAAUGAUGGCCAGGCUGUCUCCACCCGAGACUCAGUGAAAUUGAACUCGCUGUGAAGAUGCAGUGUACCCGCGGCAAGACGGAAAGACCCCGUGAACCUUUACUAUAGCUUGACACUGAACAUUGAGCCUUGAUGUGUAGGAUAGGUGGGAGGCUUUGAAGCGUGGACGCCAGUCUGCGUGGAGCCGACCUUGAAAUACCACCCUUUAAUGUUUGAUGUUCUAACGUGGACCCGUUAUCCGGGUUGCGGACAGUGUCUGGUGGGUAGUUUGACUGGGGCGGUCUCCUCCUAAAGAGUAACGGAGGAGCACGAAGGUUGGCUAAUCCUGGUCGGACAUCAGGAGGUUAGUGCAAUGGCAUAAGCCAGCUUGACUGCGAGCGUGACGGCGCGAGCAGGUGCGAAAGCAGGUCAUAGUGAUCCGGUGGUUCUGAAUGGAAGGGCCAUCGCUCAACGGAUAAAAGGUACUCCGGGGAUAACAGGCUGAUACCGCCCAAGAGUUCAUAUCGACGGCGGUGUUUGGCACCUCGAUGUCGGCUCAUCACAUCCUGGGGCUGAAGUAGGUCCCAAGGGUAUGGCUGUUCGCCAUUUAAAGUGGUACGCGAGCUGGGUUUAGAACGUCGUGAGACAGUUCGGUCCCUAUCUGCCGUGGGCGCUGGAGAACUGAGGGGGGCUGCUCCUAGUACGAGAGGACCGGAGUGGACGCAUCACUGGUGUUCGGGUUGUCAUGCCAAUGGCACUGCCCGGUAGCUAAAUGCGGAAGAGAUAAGUGCUGAAAGCAUCUAAGCACGAAACUUGCCCCGAGAUGAGUUCUCCCUGACUCCUUGA
rnacentral:rRNA from 2 species